UACUUCUUGAUGUUUCUCAAGUUACACAAUGAAAUGUUAUAUUUUAAAAGUAAGAAAAUACAUUUAAAGUUUGAUGAAAUCUAAGCCAAUCAAAUACUUCCUGUAGAAAAAAGAUUAUUGUUCGUUUAGUAUUUUUAACCUUUGACUCUUUCA